UACGUAGGGUGCGAGCGUUGUCCGGAAUUAUUGGGCGUAAAGAGCUCGUAGGCGGUCUGUCGCGUCGAUCGUGAAAACUUGGGGCUUAACCCUGAGCUUGCGGUCGAUACGGGCAUGACUGGAGUUCGGCAGGGGGAGACUGGAAUUCCUGGUGUAGCGGUGAAAUGCGCAGAUAUCAGGAGGAACACCGGUGGCGAAGGCGGGUCUCUGGGCCGAUACUGACGCUGAGGAGCGAAAGCGUGGGGGAGCGAACAG
rnacentral:rRNA from 1 species